AAGUACAUCCGCCAACACGGCGCACAUACGCAAGGACGCGAAGGCCUGUGAGAACACUCUCUGAAAAAAGACGGCGACGAUGAACGCACGCCAAACGCAGGUGGCUUGUGUAACGGUGGUGAUCGGCGGCUUGCUGUGUGCUCUCAGCUACGCUGUCUACAGGCAGCUGAGCCAGAAUAGUGCCGCCAUCCCGGACAGAAAAGCGCAUGUGUCCGAGUCUCCUGUGCAGCCCCCCGCUGUCGCUGCUGGCGCACAAGCCUCAACACCCCCACCUCAGGCACCCAUCUCGCUCCCUGUCGAAUCACCGUGCCCAGCAGCGGACAAAGCCAGGGCUCUGGAACUGCUGAACGUCUUGAAGCAGAACGCGAACAUUGCCUUCCAAGAGGGCCGCUUCGAGGAUGCGCUGCGUGGUUAUCAGGACUGCAUCGAGGUUACGUCUGUCCUUGGUGCUGCCGACGCAGAAGCUGUCGCGACGGAGCAGAUUGUUCGCGCAAACGUGGCGAUGGUGUGCAUCCGCAUGCACGAGUACGACGCGGCGCGUGCGGUGGCGACGAUGCUGCUGCAGGACGCUGCGAUAGCGCUCCCAGAGGACCUCAAGGUCAAGGUGCUCUACAGGCGAGGGCUGGCAAGCAAGGCACUUAACGACCGCGCGGCGGCGCUAGCGGACUUCAAGGCCGCUGUGCACUUCUCAAAAGACCACAGAAAUCCGGCUGUGGAAAAGGAAAUUGCACUGCUGCAGCGCGGCGGUGCAUGACCGCUGUAGUGUGGCAGAGGCAAGGUCGAUAAGAAUGCGCUUGCUACCCUUCGCAGGGGACGGCAUGCAGGCGCGCUUGUCCCCCCCACCCCCCACCCCCCGGGGGGGGGGCUGUCUGCCCAGCGAAGCACUGCAAGGCAAGCGGUGCGGUGGUGGUGACGCCCUGAUUAUGCGGGUCUCUACGGAUGUGUACGGCGCCAUCGACUCAAAGGAGUGCCUCUGCGCGUGUGGGAAUCGUCACAGUCGUGAAGGAAAAGCUUAGGGUAGCGCUUGAUGGGCGUGCAUGCGCGGUGCUGGGAGUGAUUCACCAGCCCACCCCGCCCCCUCUCCUACACACACACACACACGCGUAAUGCGCCGGACAUGAGUUACUCGCGCGGCACCGCGGUGAACUGUUGGUGACAUUUUGCCUUCACUGCUUUCUGUCUCUUCACGUCCGCCAUCCACCUUCCCGCCUCCCUCGCUCUCACUCCCCUCUUUUCCUGCUCUCCGCGACUCAG
rnacentral:misc_RNA from 1 species